GCAGCAGGCUGUUCCAUCGUUCCGGGAAAUCGGAAAGGAAAGUCCGGACAACGCAGAGCACCAUGCUUCCUAACUGGAAGAUAUCCGCGAGGGUAUAGCAGUGUAACAGAAAAUAACCGUCGCGCCACUGGUGUGACAAGGGUGAAAAGGCGAGGUAAGAGCUCACCGGUCCUGAAGGCGACUUCAGGAGCCGUACGCCUCAUGGGUUGUAAGACCAUGUAUACCGGCAAUGAGGGCUGCUCGUCCGAUGCCGGGGGGUAGGUCGCUGGAUCCUGUCAGUGAUGACGGGACAAGAUAAAUGAUGGAAAACGUUUCAGAUUUCUCUUGCAGAAGCAUGAAGCGUCACAGAAUCCGGCUUACAGGCCGGCUGCAAAA
rnacentral:RNase_P_RNA from 1 species